rnacentral:rRNA from 1 species
GACGAACGCUGGCGGCGUGCUUAACACAUGCAAGUCUAGCGGAGCGGCGAACGGGUGAGUAACGCGUGAGUACCUGCCCCCCUCUCUGGGAUAACAGUUGGAAACGGCUGCUAAUACCGGCUAGUGGGGGAUGACUCGCGUGCUAGCAGCUUGUUGGUGGGGUAGUGGCCUACCAAGGCGAUCACGGGUAGCCGGCCUGAGAGGGCGACCGGCCAAAAUGGGCUGAGAUACGGCCGAAACGCCUACGGGAGGCAGCAGUGUGGAAUAUUGCACAAGGGGGGAAACCCUGAUGCAGCAACGCGCGUGCGGGAUGACGGCCUUCGGGUUGUAAACCGCUUUCAGCCAUGACGCGGUAGUGGCAGAAGAAGCACCGGCUAACUACGUGCCAGCAGCCGCGGUAAUAC